rnacentral:rRNA from 1 species
UGGGGAAUAUUGCACAAUGGGCGCAAGCCUGAUGCAGCCAUGCCGCGUGUGUGAAGAAGGCCUUCGGGUUGUAAAGCACUUUCAGCGAGGAGGAAGGUGGUGAGCUUAAUACGCUCAUCAAUUGACGUUACUCGCAGAAGAAGCACCGGCUAACUCCGUGCCAGCAGCCGCGGUAAUACGGAGGGUGCAAGCGUUAAUCGGAAUUACUGGGCGUAAAGCGCACGCAGGCGGUUUGUUAAGUCAGAUGUGAAAUCCCCGGGCUCAACCUGGGAACUGCAUUUGAAACUGGCAAGCUAGAGUCUCGUAGAGGGGGGUAGAAUUCCAGGUGUAGCGGUGAAAUGCGUAGAGAUCUGGAGGAAUACCGGUGGCGAAGGCGGCCCCCUGGACGAAGACUGACGCUCAGGUGCGAAAGCGUGGGGAGCAAACAGAUUAGAUACCCUGGUAGUCCACGCUGUAAACGAUGUCGAUUUUGGAGGUUGUGCCCCUUGAGGCGUGGCUUCCGGAGCUAACGCGUUAAAUCGACCGCCUGGGGAGUACGGCCGCAAGGUUAAAACUUAAAUGAAUUGCGGGUCUAGCUGUUCC